GGAAAAUUUUUCAUCGGCAAGAUAAGUUAUUUACUAAAUAAUAGGAAACCAUCCUGGAGAGUUCGAAUCUCUCAUUUUCCG
rnacentral:tRNA from 1 species